GAGGCCGUGGUGGAAAGUGGGGCGGGGUUCGGGGCGCUGCUGGGCACUCACCUGGCGGCGGCCACGCGCCCCCGCCCACGACCCGGUGCCGGGGGCGUCUGAAUGCGGAGCCUCCACCCACAUCCCGAGGUGCGGGAGCCCCCCCAAGUCCCCACUCCCGCGUGGAAGGCCGGGCCGCGGCCUGAGCCGGGAACUCGAGGGGAUGGUGGGGAAGGGAGCCGCUCCUCGGGAACCCCGGAGAGAGUGUGGGCCUCGGACGACGGAUCCGCGGGGCGCGCAGAGCGCCACCUCUCGCCUGGGCGCGACUUGGAGAUGGGGGGCAGCACCAGGGGAGCCGAGGCCAGUGCGCGGCUGGACCGCUCGCCUCCACGAAGGGUGGGUGCGCCCCGACCCGGAGGACUCCCGCCUCGACCAGGUGGAACCUUCUAUAGCUUCCGAGAGGGACCCUUGGAAGUUUCUGGAAAGCAGGCCUCUGGCUGGAGCCGGUGGGGGCCGUCUGCUGCCCACACAUCUGAGAGUGACCGCACCACCCAGCUGAGACCCUGGUAUUCGGCAGGCAGGGCCCAAGGACAUUCCCCUGGGGUGAUUCAAGGACUCAGCUUGGUACCAGGGGUGGAAAUGAAGG